rnacentral:lncRNA from 1 species
GCAUGUCCAGCUCCAAAUGAUACUGAAACAUAUAUGAAAGAAAUUAAAAAAAUAAAAAUAAAAACUGUUUACAUGAUAUAAUUAGUUAUCAAAGGUACCAGGAUUAUAAUUUAGUACGCCAGACGCGCGUCUUCGUCUUCACUAAACACAUCAGUGACGCUCGGAUCAAAAUAUUUAUAAAGCCAAACAAGUACAAAGUUGAAGAGCAUUGAAAAUGAUUUGAUAUUGAAUGUAUUAUUAUAACAUCACAAGUUACAUACUUCAGGAAUAGAUUAUCUUAGCUGUAUUUGACAAAAUGUUUAGGAAUUUUGGUCUUGAAUGCUCUUCAAUUUCGUACUUUAUUUGGCCUUUUUAACUUUUUUGGAAUCGAGCGUCACUGAUGGGUCUUUUGUAGACGAAACGCGCGUCUGGCGUAAACACCAAUUUAAACUUGGUAUCUAUGAUGAGUUUACUUAUGUAAAACUUCGUAUAAAAUUUAGUUUAAAGAAUUUUUAUCUACAACUUCAGAACAUUGAAUCCAUACUUCAACAACAUCGUGGCACCUGGUCUUUAAUCAAUCACCUUUUAAAUGUACAUUUAUACAUGAUAUUCAAUGUAUAACUGGUCAAAUGUUUUACUGUAAAUAAUAAAUGUGUUUUUAAAAAUAAAACAUAGAAAAUAUCAAACAAAA